UACGUAGGGUGCGAGCGUUUAAUCGGAAUUACUGGGCGUAAAGUGUGCGCAGGUGGCUUCGCAAGUCGAGUGUGAAAUCCCCGGGCUUAACCUGGGAAUUGCGCUCGAAACUACGGAGCUGGAGUAUGGCAGAGGGAGGUGGAAUUCCACGUGUAGCGGUGAAAUGCGUAGAGAUGUGGAGGAACACCAAUGGCGAAGGCAGCCUCCUGGGCCAAUACUGACACUCAUGCACGAAAGCGUGGGGAGCAAACAGG
rnacentral:rRNA from 1 species